GAUGAAGAACGUAGCGAAAUGCGAUAAGUAAUGUGAAUUGCAGAAUUCAGUGAAUCAUCGAAUCUUUGAACGCAUCUUGCGCUCCUUGGUAUUCCUUGGAGCAUGCCUGUUUGAGUAUCAUGAGCAAAUCUCAAAGUCAAUUCCUUUUGUUAAUUCAAUUGGUUUUGCUUUGGACUUGGAGGUCUUGCAGAUUUUCACAGUCUGCUCCUCUUAAAUGCAUUAGCUGGAUCUCAGUAAUUAUGCUUGGUUCCACUCGGCGUGAUAAGUAUCACUCGCUGAGGACACUGUUAAAAAGGUGGCCAGGAAAAUACUGAUUGAACCGCUUCUAACGGUCUAUUAAGUUAGACAAUUACCCUUAAGUUUGAUCUCAAAUCAGGUAGGACUACCCGCUGAACUUAAGCAUAUCAAUAAGCGGAGG
rnacentral:misc_RNA from 1 species